rnacentral:rRNA from 1 species
UACAGAGGUCUCGAGCGUUGUUCGGAUUCAUUGGGCGUAAAGGGUGCGUAGGCGGUUGGGUAAGUCAGACGUGAAAUUCCAGGGCUCAACCCUGAAACUGCGUUUGAUACUGCCUGACUAGAGUACUGGAGAGGAGACUGGAAUUCACGGUGUAGCAGUGAAAUGCGUAGAUAUCGUGAGGAAGACCAGUGGCGAAGGCGAGUCUCUGGACAGUAACUGACGCUGAGGCACGAAGGCUAGGGGAGCAAACGGG